AGGCACCAGCAUGGUUGUGUUCUGGUGAAGGCUUUCAUCCUGGUUCACAGCUUGCACAUCUCUUCAGUAUACUAUUACAGCAAUAAAUGCUUUAAAGAUUUUUGGUGUUUGUAUACACCCUCUGAA